ensembl:snRNA U4 U4 spliceosomal RNA
AGCUUUGUGCAGUGACAUUAGCAUAGCCAAUGAGAUUUAUCCAAGUUGUGAUUAUUGCUAAUUGAAAACUUUUCCCAAUACUCUGUCAUGACGACUUGAAAUAAGUCGGCAUUGGCAAUUUUUAACAGUUUCUUUGGAGA